rnacentral:rRNA from 1 species
AUGCCAAUUAAGUCAAUGUUGGACCAGAUAAUGUGGAAGCUAACAAACAGGAUUGUUGGUAAGCAGAGAGAGGCAGAGAAAUGGACAGGCAGAUUAUGUCCCAAGAUACAGAAGAAAUUGGACAAGUAUGUGGAGUGGGCAAAGAACUGCAGGGUGCAAGAGUAUGGGCAAGGUGUUUUCAAGGUUUUCUCUUUGAACAACACAUACAUUGUUGACCUGAACAUGCUCUCUUGUGAAUGCAAAAGGUGGGUACUAUCUGGCAUACCUUGCCAUCAUGCAAUUGCAUGUUUUAGGCAUGAGAGAAUUGAGCCAGAGAGCAUGGUCCAUUCAUGCUACACUAUUGAGGAAUAUAAGAAGUGUUAUGGAUUUAAUAUGAUGCCAAUGAGGGACCCACAGCAAUAA